AUGCUCUCUCUCACUGUCUGUGUUCAUGUGUACUGCUGCUUCAAUUUCUUUGUGAUGCAAAUGUUGUUGAUGAAAAUUUUGUGUAAUAAAAAGCUACAAAAAAAAUCAGUUUUUCUUGUUGCGAAAAUUUCCGAAUUUUGCUCUGGUCUAGCAGUUCGACAUAUAUUCUACUUCAGUUCAGUAUGUCAUUUCAGUUUAGUACGUCGGAGUAUCAUGUACGUCAGUUCAGUUCAGUACAAAAACAUUAGAGAUUCGACAGACAUAAUCAUGUCGCACAAGUUCAAGUAUAGAUACAGAAGUUUCUCACCAUAA
rnacentral:rRNA from 1 species